rnacentral:rRNA from 1 species
GAUGAACGCUAGCGGCAGGCUUAAUACAUGCAAGUCGUGAGGCAGCAUGAGUGUAGCAAUACAUUUGAUGGCGACCGGCAAACGGGUGCGGAACACGUACUGAACCUUCCUUUAAGUGGGGAAUAGCCCAGAGAAAUUUGGAUUAAUACCCUGUAACAUAUAGAAGUGGCAUCACUUUUAUAUUAUAGCUCCGGCGCUUAAAGAUGGCAGUGCGGCUGAUUAGGUAGUUGGCGGGGUAACGGCCCACCAAGCCUGCGAUCAGUAACUGGUGUGCAUCGAAUAACCAGCCACACGGGCGCUGGGACACGUGACCGACUCGUACGGGGUGCAGCAGUAAGGAGUAUUGGUCACUGGACGCAAGUCUUAACCAGCCAUGCCGCGUGGAGGAUGAAGGACCUCUGGAUUGUAAACUUCUUUUAUCUGGGAAGCAAUCCGUGGUUUCUACAAUGGUUGACGGUACCAGAUGAAUAAGCACCGGCUAACUCCGUGCCAGCCGCCGCAGUAACAC